GGAUGUGAGGGCGAUCUGGCUGUGACAUCUGUCACCCCAUUGAUCACCAGGGUUGAUUCAGCUGAUCUGGCUGGCUAGGCAGGUCUCCCUUCCUCCCUCUCUGAUCCAUGUGCUCCCUCCCAAAGCUGCCCGCAGGCACUCAGUUGAAGAGGAUGACCUUCCCCCAGAGGAGAAGACUGGUUUUCAGUCAAGGGUAUACGAGUAGCUGCACUCCCCUGCUAGAACCUCCAAACAGGCUCUCCAAGUGGCUGUGCCAUUUUACAUUCCCCAGCAGGCAUGAAAGUUUUGAAUUCUCCACAUUCUCACCAAUACUUGUUAUUAUCUGA
ensembl:misc_RNA 7SK 7SK RNA